UACGUAGGGUGCGAGCGUUAAUCGGAAUUACUGGGCGUAAAGCGUGCGCAGGCGGUCUGUUAAGACCGAUGUGAAAUCCCCGGGCUUAACCUGGGAACUGCAUUGGUGACUGGCAGGCUUUGAGUAUGGCAGAGGGGGGUAGAAUUCCACGUGUAGCAGUGAAAUGCGUAGAGAUGUGGAGGAAUACCGAUGGCGAAGGCAGCCCCCUGGGCUAACACUGACGCUCAGGCACGAAAGCGUGGGGAGCAAACAGG
rnacentral:rRNA from 1 species